ACUCUCUCAGCAGGUAGAACGUGGGCUCUGCAGCACCAGAAUGACUCCGGCAUCACUCCAAAGGCAGAGGCCAGUGCCGCUAGAUGUAUAGACACUUCUGCCUAUACAACAUCCCCACAACCUAGAGCAAAGGGGGUUUGGAUUGCUCUGUAGCAGGUGAGAUGCGACCGUUGCAUGACAACAUCGCUUCAGAGACAUCCGAAGGAAUUUGAAGAUCUAGUCUGCAGUCUUCUGCACAUUGACCUUGCAAAGUCCCAUUGAUCCCAACUUCCACUUUUCAGAUGCAAUGAACCACGGAAGAGGAUACAGUCAACUUACCGGAUAGGUAUCCAUCCCUUUUUC